rnacentral:misc_RNA from 1 species
UCCGAUUUAUCAUCGGCAGUCUCGUUAGAGUGCUCAACUAAAUGGUAGCAACUAACAAUAGGGGUUGCGCUCGUUGCGGGACUUAACCCAACAUCUCACGACACGAGCUGACGACGGCCAUGCAACACCUGCAUACACCCGGCCGAACCGAAGAAAUCUGUUUCCAGAAAUCAAAAUGUACAUGUCAAGGGCUGGUAAGGUUUCUCGCGUAUCAUCGAAUUAAAGAACAUGCUCCACCGCUUGUGCGGGUCCCCGUCAAUUCCUUUGAGUUUUAAUCUUGCGAUCGUAUUCCCCAGGCGGUGUGCUUAUCGCGUUAGCUUGGCCACCCAUACGUAAACGUACAGAUAGCGAGCACACAUCGUUUAGGGCGUGGACUAC